rnacentral:lncRNA from 1 species
CCUCUCCGGCCAUUGGCCCGCUUAAUCCAUUUCAGUGCCAAAAAGAUCAUAAAAUAAAUAACUGCCUUUUAAUGGAAGAUUACACAAGGACAAAGUCAUAAAAGGUGCAAGGAAAGCAGAGGAAACGUUUCAGGGGGCCGACCUGCCGCUUGGCGUCUGCUCCAGAGGGGGUCCAGGCAGUCGGGCGCACGAGGGCCCCCCCCCCUGCCCCGGCCCUUCGCUUCAGCCAGCGCCCUCAAGGGCGGCCAGGAAGCAGCCGGUUCAGUGGCACAACGGCUUCAGGGCCCCAGGAACUGGGCAAAGAGAGAGACAAUGUGUGUGCGUGUGUGCAAAGCAGGGAAACACCCAGAUGUCCCCAGGACUUCCAGAGCAAACCUGUGUCAGUAGCACCGAUACUGGACAGGCCUGCUGGACCACUUGACAGGUGUGUCUUGCACAGCGUGGUUGACCCCAAAGCGGCUGGCCGCUUGGCCGGUUCACCUGCGCCCCGACCUCAGUCUCUGCCGCUGCUUUCAACCACUCUUGGCCCACAGGAAACGCCUGGAAGGACCUGCCGGCCGUCUCGUUCCUUCCUCAGUGCCCCCAAGAGGGGGGGGCUCUCUGCCCCUCCGGAAAAGCGGUUCCUUGGGGGUCAAGAGGCCCCCUGCACUGGGGCAGAAAUCCAGCCAGGUUGGCCGAGCAAGGCAGCACCGGCCCCGCCUUGCCCCAGGAUGGGGGCCACGCACAGCCCCACCCGGGGAGACCCUGGCCCAGGAGGGCUGCCCCUCCCCCCACCGGCCCUGAGGGCCACAACGCAAAGGCUGCGGGGGGGGGAUGCACUUCCCUCUGGACCCUGCGGUUGUGGGUCAGCCUGUCUGGCUCCAAAGGCGGUGGGGGUCCAGAAGGACUGCCCCCCACCUCACAGAAGGCAAGGGAGCCAGGGAGGUAGCGUAGAGUGGGGAGAAGCCCUCUGGGAAAAGGCCGUGUUGCUGCAGCUGGGGGAGGGAGGGGCGGCUGAGCCUGUGCCAGGAUGGGACCCCCCCCCCCCCCCCCCCCCCCCCCCCCCCGGGGGGGGGCCGCCCCCCCCCCCCCCAGCUCCUCCUGGCCUAUCCUGAGAGCGCCUUGGCUUGUUCUCCAAGGGGGAGGGGGGAGCCCGCCCGAGCUGCCCCCCCCAGACCGAAAGGGAGGCACCUGAGCAAUGGGAGAGAGCAGGUGAGGAGAAGCCCCCCCCCCAAAGGGGCUAUCCGGUUGUGAAGGGGGGCUUGGCCCCCCAGUGGCCUCAGGAGGAAACCAGGCUGGAGCUCAAUUCCCUGCAGGAAGAGGGACGGACGAGGUGCUGCCAUCCGUGCCCCCCGCCCCCGACUGGCAGUUGGUCUUCUAGGAGAGGGGUGGUAGCAGAGCCCCCUCCCCCACGAGAAUACCGCCCGUGGCUCCUGGCCCUCCCCCCAGAGAUCCAGAGGGACCUG